rnacentral:rRNA from 1 species
CCUACGGGUGGCUGCAGUGAGGAAUAUUGGUCAAUGGGCGCGAGCCUGAACCAGCCAAGUAGCGUGAAGGAUGACUGCCCUACGGGUUGUAAACUUCUUUUAUAAAGGAAUAAAGUGAGGCACGUGUGCCUUUUUGUAUGUACUUUAUGAAUAAGGAUCGGCUAACUCCGGGCCAGCAGCCGCGGUAAUUAGGAGGAUCGGAGCGUUAUUCGGAAUUAUUGGGGUUAAAGGGAGCGUAGAUGGGUUGUUAAGUCAGUUGUUAAAGUUUGCGGAUCAACCGUAAAAUUGCAAUUGAUACUGGCAGUCUUGAGUACAGGUGAGGUAGGCGGAAUUCGUGGUGUAGCGGUGAAAUGCUUAGAUAUCACUAAGAACUCCGAGUGCGAAGGCAGCAUACUAAACUGCCACUGACAUUGAAGCUCGAAAGUGUGGGUAUCAAACAGGAUUAGAUACCCCGGUAGUC